CCAUGUACUCUUCUGUACCUUGAUAUUUUUCACUUAAGUAAUUUUGGAGGUUUUUCCAGAACAGUACGUGUAGAUCAAGCUCAUUUUCAAUGCUGCAUGGUAUUCCAGGAUGGAGAUCUGGGGAGACAGAGUGAAACCCACCGAUGAAAGAAGACACCUUCAUUAAAAUGACUUCUGGAUUUCCAUCAGUGACAGGCUUCUGGAGGGGCAGAGCCAAGUGGCAGCCCUUAACAGCCAGCAGCAAGGAACUUCAGCUGUGUCCUGUGCAUGCUAAGGUCUGAGAACUCUGACCUUAAGAGAAGGAGAGGCUGGGAAGCCUUGAGAAGGGACCCUGUAACAUGGCUAAGGAAGAUGGUUAUUGGAGAAUGACUAUGGAUUGUUAUAGAAUCAUUCAGGUACCAGACCAGAUGUAGUCUCUUUACUGGAUAACACAACAGUGCUUCUGGUACUUUGAAGGCAACUAUUGAUCUGGCAGAUGCUUUUUUUCUCUCAAUACCAAAUUAGCAAAGAUCACCAGAUGGAGUUUGCUCCCAAUUAGCAGGAUCAGCGAAACACCCUCCCUGUCUUACUUCAGACCUCUGUGACUCUUCCGCUGUCUGACAAGAUCUAGUCUGCAGGGGCCUUGAUCAUCUUGAUAUUCCCCAGAACACCAUGCUAAUAUAUUACAUUAUUGACAUGGUGAGCAGGAAGCAGCACAUACUCUAGAUGCCUUAAUAAGACAUAUGUAUGCCAGAGGGUGGGAGAGAAACUCCAAGAAAAGUCAAAGGCCUACUACCUCAGUGAAGUUUCUAAGGGGUCCAGUGGUCUGAGAAAUGUUGGCAUUUCCUCUCCAAAUUGAAGGGCAAAUUGCUAUACUUUGUACCACCUACCACUGAGAAAGAGCUACAGUGUUCUCUAUCUCUUGAUUUUUGAGAUAACAUAGGCUCUUUCUGGGUGUAUUGUUCAAAGCAACAUUUGAGUAAUCCACAAAGCUGCCAAGUUUUGUGUGGGGACCAGAGCAAAAAAAGCCUCCCUAGCAGCGUUUCUCAACAUCAGCAGUGUUGACAUUUGGGGGACAAAUAAUUCUUCGAUGUGGGAGGCUAUUUGCGAAUUGUAGGAUGUUGUUUAGCAGCAUCCCUGGCCUCUACCCCUGGUUGUGACAUCCAGAAAUCUCUACAGACAUCGCCAGAUAUCCUUGGGGGAGCAAAACUGCCCUCACUUGAGAAUCCCUGGCCUACAGCAUGUCUAGGUAAGCCUCGAGGUGAGUAAAGCACUGGCUGACACUUAACUGCAACCUCGUGAGAGACCCCGAGCCAGAUCUUUCUAACUAAGCUAUUCCUCGAUUCCUGACUCUCAGAAACCAUGAGAGAUAAUGAAUGCUUGUUGCUAAGUUGGGGGAUAAUUUGUUUUGCAGCAAUACACUGAUCCACCAAGCCAUACGGUUGGCAUACACAGCAGCAAUUGUCGUCCAGUGUAGGUAGCGUACACCAGACUGGAGUUGAGCAGGUCCUGAAUGUGCAGAUGGUGGAGGAAGAAACUGUUUGGACCAGGUUCACAGAUGGUUCCUUACAAUUUGAAGGCAUCAGAUAGAUGUGGACUGUAGAAGCAUUACAGCCCAAAGCAGGAAUGGGCACCCAGAACAGGUCCUGUCACCUAUGAGGUUUAAUAUGGCACAUCCUAGUGCAACCAUGAUGGCAGCCAUGAUGGGGCCAGGGAUCCAGGAGAAUUUCUAUUCAUAAUGUUGAUAGCCCGGGGGAAUGCAGACAGCCCACGUCACACUCCUGAAGUUGCCAAAAAUCCCUUUAAAAUGAUCCAACAGAUGUCCUUCCUUGGGGUCGAGCGGAUAUAAAUCACAACGGUCUGCUUUCAAUUCCUAACUCGGUGUCUUAGGGGCAGCAAAAUCAAUCACUCUCAGGUGAGAAAGAGCUUCAGGAUCAGGAGGCAGGGUGCCUUCUCCGUGGAAAGAGGAUGGAGUUUAAGGAGAGACACAUGAGUUUGAAUCUGGACUGGCUCUGCCAUUGGCUGUAGGAACCUCAG